rnacentral:rRNA from 1 species
CCUACGGGAGGCAGCAGUGGGGAAUAUUGCGCAAUGGGCGAAAGCCUGACGCAGCGACGCCGCGUGAGGGAUGAAGGUCUUCGGAUCGUAAACCUCUGUCAGCAGGGAAGAACGGUCACUGUGCUAAUCAGCAGUGAAUUGACGGUACCUGCAAAGGAAGCACCGGCUAACUCCGUGCCAGCAGCCGCGGUAAUACGGAGGGUGCGAGCGUUAAUCGGAAUUACUGGGCGUAAAGCGCUCGUAGGCGGUAUGUCAAGUCAAGGGUGAAAUCCCCGCGCUCAACGUGGGAACUGCCUUUGAAACUGGGAAACUGGAGUGUGUGAGAGGAUAGUGGAAUUCCAGGUGUAGGAGUGAAAUCCGUAGAUAUCUGGAGGAACAUCAGUGGCGAAGGCGACUAUCUGGAACAUAACUGACGCUGAGGAGCGAAAGCGUGGGUAGCAAACAGGAUUAGAUACCCUAGUAGUC